rnacentral:rRNA from 1 species
AUCCUGGCUCAGAGCGAACGCUGGCGGCAGGCUUAACACAUGCAAGUCGAACUUGGCACUUCGAGUGCUAGUGGCAGACGGGUGAGUAACACGUGGGAACGUACCUUUCGGUUCGGAAUAAUUCAGGGAAACUUGGACUAAUACCGGAUACGCCCUUCGGGGGNAAAGAUUUAUCGCCGAUAGAUCNGCCCGCGUCUGAUUAGCUAGUUGGUGAGGUAAUGGCUCACCAAGGCGACGAUCAGUAGCUGGUCUGAGAGGAUGAUCAGCCACAUUGGGACUGAGACCGGCCCAAACUCCUACGGGAGGCAACAAUGGGGAAUAUUGGACAUGGGCGCAAGCCUGAUCCAGCCAUGCCGCGGUGAGUGAUGAAAGCCUUAGGGUUGUAAACUCUUUUGUCCCGGAAGAUAUGACUGUACCGG